rnacentral:lncRNA from 1 species
AUUUUCAUAAAUAAACUGCAAAAAAAGAAACUUCCUCUCACUGUCAACUGCGUUUAUUUUCAGCAAACUAAUUAACAUGUGUAAAUAUUUGUAUGAACAUAACAAGAUUCAACAACUGAGACGUAAACUGAACAAGUUCAACAGACGUGAUGAACAGAAAUGGAAUAAUGUGUCCCUGAACAAAGCAGGGGUCAAAAUCAAAAGUAAGUCAAUAUCUGGUGUGGCCACCAGCUGCGUUAAGUACUGCAGUGCAUCUCCUCCUCAUGGACUGCACCAGAUUUGCCAGUUCUUGCUGUGAGAUGUUACCCCACUCUUCCACCAAGGCACCUGCGGGUUCGUGGACAUUUCUGGGGGGAUUGGCCCUAGCCCUCACCCUCCAAUCCAACAGGUCCCAGACGUGCUCAAUGGGAUUGAGAUCCGAGCUCUUCGCUGGCCGCGCACAGAAUGAGCGGUAUGGCUGGUGGCAUUGUCAUGCUGGAGGGUCAUGUCAGGAUGAGCCUGCAGGAAGGGUACCACAUGAGGGAGGAGGAUGUCUUCCCUGUAACGCACAGCAUUGAGAUUGCCUGCAAUGACAACAAGCUCAGUCCGAUGAUGCUGUGACACACCGCCCCAGACCAUGACAGACCCUCCACCUCCAAAUCGAUCCCGCUCCAGAGUACAGGCCUCGGUGUAACGCUCAUUCCUUCGACGAUAAACGCGAAUCCAACCAUCACCCCUGGUGAGACAAAACCGCGACUCAUCAGUGAAGAGCACUUUUUCCAGUCCUGUCUGGUCCAGCGACCAGUUGGGCCCAUAGGUGACGUUGUUGCCGGUGAUGUUUGGUGAGGACCUGCUUUACAAUAGGCCUACAAGCCCUCAGUCCAGCCUCUCUCAGCCUAUUGCGGACAGUCUGAGCACUGAUGGAGCAUCUCCUCGGCUUCCCAGCAUACACGCACUUGGUCACAGCUCGCCCUUUUGGAGCAUACUUUGGCGUUUCCAUGGGAACAGUACAAUGUGAAAAUGCCAUGCUGAGAAGUGAGAACUUACCUCACCAACGACGCCAUAUGAUGUCUUUAGAACACACCACCCUGAUUCCUCG